GAUGAACGCUGGCGGCGUGCCUAAUACAUGCAAGUCGAGCGAACAGAUGAGGAGCUUGCUCCUCUGACGUUAGCGGCGGACGGGUGAGUAACACGUGGAUAACCUACCUAUAAGACUGGGAUAACUUCGGGAAACCGGAGCUAAUACCGGAUAAUAUAUUGAACCGCAUGGUUCAAUAGUGAAAGACGGUUUUGCUGUCACUUAUAGAUGGAUCCGCGCCGCAUUAGCUAGUUGGUAAGGUAACGGCUUACCAAGGCAACGAUGCGUAGCCGACCUGAGAGGGUGAUCGGCCACACUGGAACUGAGACACGGUCCAGACUCCUACGGGAGGCAGCAGUAGGGAAUCUUCCGCAAUGGGCGAAAGCUUGACGGAGCAACGCCGCGUGAGUGAUGAAGGUCUUCGGAUCGUAAAACCCUGUUAUUAGGGAAGAACAAAUGUGUAAGUAACUAUGCACGUCUUGACGGUACCUAAUCAGAAAGCCACGGCUAACUACGUG
rnacentral:rRNA from 1 species